rnacentral:rRNA from 1 species
GAUCCUACGGGGGGCCGCAGUGUGGCUUAUUGGGUUUUUGGCGCGAGCCUGAACCAGCCAAGUCGCGUGAGGGAAGACGGUCCUAUGGAUUGUAAACCUCUUUUGUCGGGGAGCAAAAGACGCCACGUGUGGCGUUCCGAGAGUACCCGAAGAAAAAGCAUCGGCUAACUCCGUGCCAGCAGCCGCGGUAAUACGGAGGAUGCGAGCGUUAUCCGGUUUUAUUGGGUUUAAAGGGUGCGCAGGCGGAAGAUCAAGUCAGCGGUAAAAUUGAGAGGCUCAACCUCUUCGAGCCGUUGAAACUGGUU